UCCGUCGCCACAUCCCUCUCCCGCCCCUCAGUUCCCUGAGUGUGGCUUCUACGGCCUUUACGACAAGAUCCUGCUUUUCAAACAUGACCCCACGUCGGCCAACCUCCUGCAGCUGGUGCGCUCGUCCGGAGACAUCCAGGAGGGCGACCUGGUGGAGGUGGUGCUGUCGGCCUCGGCCACCUUCGAGGACUUCCAGAUCCGCCCGCACGCCCUCACGGUGCACUCCUAUCGGGCGCCUGCCUUCUGUGAUCACUGCGGGGAGAUGCUCUUCGGCCUAGUGCGCCAGGGCCUCAAGUGCGAUGGUGAGAGCUAAAGGGUUGGGGGCGGGGCCUGGGGCGGGGCUCUGCACCGGGGGCGGAGCGUAAUGGUCCUGGCACGGGGACAGCGUGGGGAGGAGGAGCGGGUCUCAGAGCUGGGGGCGCAGCCUAGGAAGUAAUAAUGGGAAGAAGGAUGGGCCCAGAAGCAGAGCUUGGGGAAGGAGUGGUGGGGCUGGGCCGGGGCUCAGGUCUAGGGGCGGAGCCUAGGAGGUGGAGCUGGGAGGGACAAGUAGGGGCUUAAGAACAGAGCCUAGGGGAGCAGAAGGGUGGCGGGGGAAGAGGGUGGGGCCUCUAUCAGUUAGGGAUCAAGCAGAGAAACAUCCAGGAGGAGAUAUAUAUUGAGAUAUUUAUAUGCAAGGAAUCAGCUUACAGAAUUGUGUGGGCUGGCUAGGCAACUCAAAUCUGGCUGGGCACAGUGGGGGAGGCCAGUAAUCCCAGCACUUUGGGAGGCAAAGGUAGGUGGAUCACUUGAGGCCAGGAGUUCAAGACCAGCCUGGGCAACAUAGCAAGACUCUGCCUGUACAAAAAAUAAUUAGCC
rnacentral:lncRNA from 1 species